AUGAACGCUGGCGGCGUGCCUAAUCCAUGCAAGUCGAGCGAACAGACGAGGAGCUUGCUCCUCUGACGUUAGCGGCGGACGGGUGAGUAACACGUGGAUAACCUACCUAUAAGACUGGGAUAACUUCGGGAAACCGGAGCUAAUACCGGAUAAUAUAUUGAACCGCAUGGUUCAAUAGUGAAAGACGGUUUUGCUGUCACUUAUAGAUGGAUCCGCGCCGCAUUAGCUAGUUGGUAAGGUAACGGCUUACCAAGGCAACGAUGCGUAGCCGACCUGAGAGGGUGAUCGGCCACACUGGAACUGAGACACGGUCCAGACUCCUACGGGAGGCAGCAGUAGGGAAUCUUCCGCAAAGGGCGAAAGCCUGACGGAGCAACGCCGCGUGAGUGAUGAAGGUCUUCGGAUCGUAAAACUCUGUUAUUAGGGAAGAACAAAUGUGUAAGUAACUAUGCACGUCUUGACGGUACCUAAUCAGAAAGCCACGGCUAACUACGUG
rnacentral:rRNA from 1 species